CCUACGGGAGGCAGCAGUAGGGAAUUUUCCACAAUGGACGAAAGUCUGAUGGAGCAACGCCGCGUGCAGGAUGAAGGCCCUUGGGUCGUAAACUGCUUUUAUAUGUGAAGCGGUAGCAUAUGAAUAAGGAUCGGCUAACUCCGUGCCAGCAGCCGCGGUCAUACGGAGGAUCCAAGCGUUAUCCGGAAUUACUGGGCGUAAAGAGUGCGUAGGCGGCAUUGUAAGUAGGACGUGAAAGCGUAUGGCUCAACCAUAUAAGCAUGUCCUAAACUGCAAAGCUAGAAUAUAGAAGAGGUAGCUGGAAUUCCUUGUGUAGGAGUGAAAUCCGUAGAUAUAAGGAGGAACACCGAUGGCGUAGGCAGGCUACUGGUCUAUAUUGACGCUAAGGCACGAAAGCGUGGGUAGCAAACGGGAUUAGAUACCCUGGUAGUC
rnacentral:rRNA from 1 species